UAAGAUAUAUAAAUUUAUUUUUACUUUUUUGUUGGUAUUUUGAAAUUUUAUCUUAUUUAGUAUUUAAAUUUUUAUUUGAACAUAUAGAAAAAAGUUUUUUAAAAAAACAUUAUGGAUGGAUUUUGAAUUAUGCAACCCGAUCAACCUAACCAAUAUGAGUAUAAUCUAACCAACCUGAACUUAACUCAAGUUAAGAGAAAUGAGGUUGGGUUGGGCUAAUGUUGAUUAUGCUCUGGUUAGCCAUCAGCCUAACCAACUGGCCCAAGUUGCAGCCCUAGUGCUUUUAUACUCUGCCAUUUUGUACCAUAGACGUGUAUAUGCGUGCUUUAGGACUUGGGUAGGAAGAAGGCAGCAACUUAGCAUUGUAUCUCCUAAUUGCAGUUCCCCCACCCCCCAAAAUUAGAUCCAAUAUAGGGAACUGUUGUACUUCAGUUAUUUUACUACCCAUUCAAUCUAACAACUCUAAAUUGCUUCUAUGAUCUCUGAUCAAAAGAAAAAAAAAAUUCUUCUAUGAUCAUUUGAUGUUAUUAUCCAUAUUUAGUUUGGGAAAGUAUGAUGAUAUAUUUUAAAAUUUAUGGCAUGGGUUGUAUGAAAGGUGGCCUGGGAAUUUCUUUGCCAG
rnacentral:lncRNA from 1 species